UACGGGGGGAGCAAGCGUUGUUCGGAUUUACUGGGCGUAAAGGGCGCGUAGGCGGUCAGCACAAGUCAGUUGUGAAAUCUCCGAGCUUAACUCGGAAAGGUCAACUGAUACUGUGCGACUAGAGUGCGGAAGGGGCAACUGGAAUUCUUGGUGUAGCGGUGAAAUGCGUAGAGAUGUGGAGGAACACCAGUGGCGAAGGCGACUUUCUGGGCUGCACCUGACGCUGAACUGCGAAAGCCAGGGGAGCGAACGGG
rnacentral:rRNA from 1 species